GCCCCCGGCGCUAGAUCCGCUGCUGCUGCCGCGGCGGGCGGACCUGCAGGAGGUAGCGGCGGCGGCGGCCGAGGCCGAGGGAAGAUGGCGGACGGUGUGGACCACAUAGACAUUUACGCGGAUGUGGGCGAAGAGUUCAACCAGGAAGCUGAAUAUGGUGGGCAUGAUCAGAUAGAUUUGUAUGAUGAUGUCAUCUCUCCAUCUGCAAAUAAUGGAGAUGCCCCAGAAGAUCGGGAUUACAUGGAUACUCUCCCACCAACUGUUGGUGAUGAUGUGGGUAAAGGAGCAGCACCAAAUGUUGUCUAUACAUAUACUGGAAAGAGAAUUGCAUUAUAUAUUGGAAAUCUAACAUGGUGGACAACAGAUGAAGACUUAACUGAAGCAGUUCAUUCUUUGGGCGUAAAUGAUAUUUUGGAGAUAAAAUUUUUUGAAAAUCGGGCAAAUGGCCAGUCAAAGGGGUUUGCCCUUGUUGGUGUUGGAUCUGAAGCAUCCUCAAAAAAGUUAAUGGAUCUGUUGCCUAAAAGAGAACUUCAUGGUCAGAAUCCUGUUGUAACUCCAUGCAAUAAACAGUUCCUGAGUCAAUUUGAAAUGCAGUCCAGGAAAACUACGCAGUCAGGACAAAUGUCUGGGGAAGGUAAAGCUGGUCCUCCGGGAGGCAGUUCACGUGCAGCCUUUCCACAAGGUGGUAGAGGACGGGCCCGUUUUCCAGGGGCUGUUCCUGGUGGGGACAGAUUUCCUGGGCCAGCAGGACCAGGAGGGCCACCUCCACCUUUUCCAGGAAAUUUGAUCAAGCAUCUUGUUAAAGGAACUCGGCCUUUGUUCCUGGAAACUAGGAUUCCAUGGCAUAUGGGGCACAGCAUAGAGGAAAUACCCAUUUUUGGCCUAAAAGCUGGACAGACUCCACCACGUCCACCCUUAGGUCCUCCAGGCCCACCCGGUCCACCAGGUCCUCCACCUCCUGGUCAGGUUCUGCCUCCUCCUUUAGCUGGGCCUCCUAAUCGAGGAGAUCGCCCUCCACCACCAGUUCUUUUUCCUGGACAACCUUUUGGGCAGCCUCCAUUGGGUCCGCUUCCUCCUGGUCCUCCACCUCCAGUUCCAGGCUACGGCCCCCCUCCUGGUCCACCACCUCCACAACAGGGACCACCUCCACCUCCAGGCCCCUUUCCACCUCGCCCACCUGGCCCUCUUGGGCCACCCCUUACACUCGCUCCUCCUCCGCAUCUUCCUGGACCACCUCCAGGUGCCCCACCACCAGCUCCACAUGUGAACCCCGCUUUCUUUCCUCCACCAACUAACAGCGGCAUGCCUACAUCAGAUAGCCGGGGUCCACCACCAACGGAUCCAUAUGGCCGGCCUCCACCAUAUGAUAGGGGUGACUAUGGGCCUCCUGGAAGGGAAAUGGAUACUGCAAGAACACCACUGAGUGAAGCUGAGUUUGAAGAAAUCAUGAAUAGAAAUAGGGCAAUCUCAAGCAGUGCUAUUUCAAGAGCUGUGUCUGAUGCCAGUGCUGGUGAUUAUGGGAGUGCUAUUGAGACAUUGGUAACUGCAAUUUCUUUAAUUAAACAAUCCAAAGUAUCUGCUGAUGAUCGUUGCAAAGUUCUUAUUAGCUCUUUGCAAGAUUGCCUUCAUGGAAUUGAAUCCAAGUCUUAUGGUUCUGGAUCAAGAAGACGUGAACGAUCAAGAGAAAGGGAUCAUAGUAGAUCACGAGAAAAGAGUCGGCGUCAUAAAUCCCGCAGUAGAGAUCGUCAUGAUGAUUAUUACAGAGAGAGAAGCAGAGAACGAGAGAGACACCGGGACCGGGACCGGGACCGUGAUCGAGAGCGCGACCGAGAGCGCGAGUAUCGUCAUCGUUAGAAGUAUAUACCCACAUUUUACAUGGUUCAACUACUUGUUCUGAAUUUAAUCUUCUGGAAACAUCUGAGAUAAAUGACAGAAAAGACACUUUUCCUGCCAUCUGGGUUUUGUUUUUAAAAGAAAAGAAACAGUAUUCUUUAAUUUGCAAAGAAGAUAAGAAAGUUACUCAAUUAAAAUGGAUUCAGGGUAUUCCAUGUAGAGAAUUUUAAAUUGUACCAAAUCAUACAUCCCAGGUUAGAAUAACCUUGAAAUAAUUUUCUUUGAUGUUUCAUUCAUAAACCAUAAUCAUUGUGUCUUUUUUUUCUGUAUUUUAAAACUAUUGUGUACAUUUUUCAUAAAGCGGGAAGAGUUGUCUGUUUAUACUUCAUUUUCACGUGUAAUUUUAUUUUUAUAUUUGUGAACAGCGUUUAUUCAUGUGAAAAGUGGGGAGAGGGCACUAUAAGGCUUGUGCAUGUGACACAAAGGUUAUUCUGUAAACAGAUUUUUUUUCUUCAUAUGUUGGUGGCAUAUCCAAAAUAAAUUAGGCUAAAACAAACCCCUUAUUGGUAAUUACUCUUUACAUGAUUAUUUUCCAUAAAAUAAAAUUGGGAAAUAUUGAAAAUUCAAUUAUGGUAAUUGUUAGUAUUUAAAUUGUUAUGGGCAAAAUCAAAGGAUUGUAUGUAAUUCUGUGACAAAAUAACAGUUUCUUUAGAUAUAUUUUAGCAAACGAGAUCCUUUUUAAGUAAUAUUACUUAGAAAAUAAGCAUGUAAGUCUUAUUUUUAUGGUACACAAAUAACCUAUUACAUUAUUUACAGUUUGAAGGGCUUUUUGAAGUAAAAAGGCAAGUUUUAAUACUUUUCCUUGCAUUUUGAAUAUGCAUUUUGAAUAUAUAUCAAAACCUUAAUUUUAAAAUAGUUCUCCAUGUACUGUAUUAUAGAACUUAACAUAAAUAAUUCUCAAAACAUUAUUUUAAUAUGAGGCAAAACUUUUUAUUUUUAAAACUAAGCUUAUUGAAAUUGAUACUGUUUUUGGAUGUAAGAACUGAAUGUUGUAUCAUGUAAGACUAAAUACUAAAUUUUAAAGAUGUAGCCCUUUGCCUCUCCCACUCCCGCCCACCCCACCCCCCAGUUGAAUAGAUCUGAUCCCAUCUUAUGAAAAAAUUCUCAGUGUCCAUCAGUGCUUAAGGUGAAUUGUGGCCAACUUAGGGAAAUGUUUAACGUAUAUCAGCCAUUUCAUUUAAAGUAAGGUACAGGUCCUUCAAUUUAUAUUUUUAUUUAGACUUUGUCAGUUAUCAACAAGCUUCUAGUUACUGAAGUCAUGAUAAUGGAACUUGCAUACAUUUUCAGUCAUCUCCAAGAUUGGAUAUGCCCAUCAAGGGCAUUCUGAGCCAGUUUAUACCCAAAGUUAAUUAACAAGUCUUCUUAAUGGUUUUAGCAUAGUUAAGUAAACUCCUUCUGAAAGGUCCAUUGUUAAUUUUAAAUACUUUGAAUUAACAUUACAUUCCGGUAAUGGGUACACCUAACUAUAUCAUGGUUUGAGUUUCAUUACGUUCAGACAUUAACUAUGAAUUCCUAACUUGCAAACUAUUGUUGACAUUUUUUCUUAAUCACUGAUGUGUACCAUACCAAAAUUCCCAUGUUUUGUUUGUGCAUUAAUCAGAAUUGAGUUGUAAUAUUGUUAUGUGCCUUCAUCCAAGCAAAAUUUUACAUAAGCAUUUCCAGUGCAAAAAAUUCUGUUAUCCUGGAAUAUUGUACCUUUGCUAUACCAAACAGUAUUUAUUGUGAACAUAGAUGUGAAUAAAUGGGUAGGGACUGGGAUUAAAUAUAUCUGAGUGAAAAACUUUUUUGAGCAAAUAAAAAAUAUCUGCACAUUUAAUCACCAUCAUAAUGAGGUCUAUUGACCUUUUUUAGAAGUUUUAAAAUAUGAGUCCUUUUGAACUUUCAUGUAAAUCUUAAAUGGACUAAAUGGAAUAAGAGUAACUUGGAAGCUAAAGUGAAUGUCAGUAGUAAGUCUGUAUGCAAAUAAAACAAUAAUGUAAUCUAUUAUUAAAGUGAUGAUGAAUGGCUAAAAGGGCAAGUUCUUAAUUUAACUGGAAACUUAAAUGAUGUUGGCAAGCUGUUAAUGUCUGUCCCAUCUUAAUUUUUUUGUGUGUUUGAACUGUUGGUAAUGUUAAUUGCAUUCUCUCAUUUAAAAAAUGUAUUAGUUUUUCUAAAAGCAUUUAAUAUCUAAGUUCAAAUAUAUAAUAUUUUAAUGGGAAUAUCGGUAUUGUAAAUUUCAGCAUGUAAAUAUAUUGUGCUUCAUAUUCUGUAAUUUCUGCCUCUAUUCUCAGACCACUCUGAGCAAAACAAAAGUAGUUCAGUGUUUUAAGAUUAUAUGCUUUUUACAGAAAUAAUUUUGUUUUCAUAGUUGUUUUCUUUUGUGUUCCUCUUAUUACUUGCUGGGAACAACCCUACUCAGCGAUUUCUGUUAACAGUUCCACUUUUCUUUGUAUACUGAAGAGUAAUGAACUGAAAUUAUUUUUUUAAAAACUCUUUAUUCAUGCUUUUCCUCUCUCUGACACAUGAUGUUUACACAUUCUCAAAUCAUUAUCCAUUCCUUUGAUUAGAUUUUAAGCAUCAUAUACGGGGUAUAGGUUAAGUAACUAUACUUUCCUUUGCUGUAUGAUUACUUUUCUCCUUUCACAAAUACCAUGAUCUUAGAUUUUGUUGUCAUUGCACAAGAUUUAGGGUGUUUUGCAUUCCUUAUUCAAUUCAUAGCUUUGCAUUAAUUUGGCAGGGGGAAGCCAAAAGAAUCAAAAGUUCUUGCAUAAAUGUUAAGAUGCUUUUAUCUCCUCAAGAGUUAAUGUUACUUUGAGUCUUAUGUGAAAAUUAAAUUCUUCUAAUCAUCUGAUGAAUGAUACGGGUGGUAAUGAGAUUUAAAAACUAUUUCUGCAACUCUUAAGUCAUCUGAGAUCUGACUAAUACUGUCCAGCCCUGUGUUUAUUGUUUCCCCAUAUAUCCUACCCGCUUCAUCUGGAUAUGCCAGCUUUCAUUAUUUUCACUCUAAUUUUCCUUGCUUUUAGUAUUAUUUGCAAAACCUGCCUGACUACACAGUUAUGUUAAUUAAAGUGAGAAGAGGGUAAAAAGUGAUCCUAGAAUGGAUGUAUAGUGUGUGUUUUGCUCACUGUGGUUUAAGAAUAUGGUUUUGUUUACAAAUGAUUAAUGUUCCCUGUUUAAAAAAAAAAAAUCAGUACCAAUGUGAGUCACCUUGAUCUCUCACCUUCAUCUCAGUGUGAAAUUUACUACCAUUGUUCUAGUUUGUAAAUUAGAUUGUUUUGAAUAAAUAAUGAUUUGAAUGAAUAGUUAGCAUUGUUUAAAGGAAAUCUAAUAACCAAAAAAGGACUAAGGGUGUCAUAUAUGCUGUCCAAAUUUACUAAUUUGCCUUGGUGGUAGCAUGUUUUAACUCUCACAGUGAAAUCUAAAUCACACAGCAGCUUAUUUUGAAAUGUCCAUUUUGUGAAAUUUUUUGGGCAAAGCUGGGUAUUCUUUAACUGUGAAGUUUAUUUCUACUGUUUAGUGAACUGCCUAGAGCAACAAUCCUGUAUAUGUUUUAUAGUGUAAUGAAAUGGGUUAGUUAAAAUGAGGUAAGUACUAUCUGCAGAGAUGCAAAGAUGAAAGUACGAAAUGUUUUGGUAGUAAGGGAGUUUUUUGUAAACAUCUACAACAAACAGGAUUUUGUGUAAUAUGUUCUAGUCAAUGCAAGGAGGGAUUUUGAUUUUAAAGAGUUCACUUGUAUUUAGAUACUUCUAGUUCUUUUGCCCACUUCAUCUCCUUUCCUCUCAUUAAGAAAAAAGUGAAUUUUAUUAUAUUGCAUUAAUAAAAGUAUAUCUCUAAAAUUAUAUUAGAAUCCUUCUUAUUCAGUGUAUUAAUGUGAAAACCUGUAAAAGAUCCAUAUCUAAUAUAUUUGAAUCUUAUACUUGAAAGGUGAAUUAACUGAUACCAGUAAAUUUGCUUGGAUAAGUUUUCUAACAGAAACACUCGUAAUUUGAGUUGUUAGUAUUGACUUGAUCUUGCAUUAUCUCAAAAUGCAGGUGCUUCUCUAUUGAAAUUUUAACUUAGUGCUCACUUUAUAUACUUCAUUAAAGAGCCAUAGAUUCCAUCUGUCUUAGUUUUUUUAACAACUGCUUACAUAGAUCUUCCUUCUAUAACUGAUAGCUAAAGCAAGAAAUUGUGUGGCUUUGACAUUACAGAUUUGACCACAUGGUAUUCUGAAAACAUGACCGUUGAAUGUAUUUGUCACUUUAAGCUUCUUUUUGAUAUCUGUGUUUAUGUAGAUUUCUACUUAGAAACUUGAGACUAUAAUAUGGAAUUGGGUUAUUGGAAAUGGGUUGUAUUGCCUUCAAAUUUGCUUUUUCUUUUUUUUUUUUGAGAUUGUAAAAUUUUGUAUUUCCAAAUGGAUAAAUGUAAAGUGUUUAGAAAUAGAAAUAAAAGCUGUCAGAUUAUCCCCCAGAUUUUGUCUGUAUGGUGAAAAUUAGAGACUUAUUAAUAGUAAAGAUCUAUCUAUAAGACAAAAGAUAAGUGCAUUCAUCCUAAAGAUAUGUGUUGUAAUUUCACAAAUAGGAUUCUCUACCUAAAAAAUAGUAAAAAUUCUCCAUUGGAGUGAUAUAAAAUUGCAGAGUAUGCCAUGUUUUUUGGAAGGGUUGGGUAUUUUUGUUUUGCUCACUGUGACUUAAUUUUUCCCUCUUAUUUAAAUCCCUUCCAGCAUGAUAAAAUAACUGGGAGAUAAACAUCUUUUUGCAAUGAGAUUUAUGAGUUUCCCAUUAUUUUUUCAGAUUAGAACAUAUGCCUUGUCUCUCUUUAAUACUUCAAUACCAGUUUUUUUAAGUAUAUUGCAAAGUAGUAAAGAUAAAAUGUGUGAAGCUACCUUUCUAGAUUUUUUUCCAUGAAAUAAUUCCACCAAAAGCUUUAUCAGCAUAAGAUAAAAUACAUGAAAGGUAACAUUAGAAAUGGCUUAAGUAUCUAUUUGAAAAAUAUGGGCAAAUUAAAAACUAUUUAAAAGUCCAGGAUUAUGACAUCUGCUUUUUCAUUUUGUAGUUGUAAAAUUUAAGUUUUUACUGCUAGGCAAUGUGAAUGCGUAUGUGUACUGAUGCUCUUAAGUUGCUUACACCCUAAUUGAGGAGGAAAGGACAUAGAAGAAGAUUUAUAGUUGUGACAGAAUAUUAAUUACUCUUAAUUGUAGAGCAAAAAGUAUUUUUCAGUUACUUUUAUGGGAUACUAUCACUAAACAUUGUGCCCUUUUGCCUCUUACAUCAUAUUAUUGAAACACUCUCUUGGAAUUUAUAUUUUAAAUAUCUGGUGUUUCAGGUGAUCACAUAUCCACGUUAACUGAAUGUUUCUUUUGUGAACCUCUACCUGAAGUUUGCAUAUUUAUGUACUCCUGAAACUUUAGGUUAUCUCAUUUAUUGGGUUUUUUUUUCUUUAUGUGAGUUUUCAAUGAAAUUUAUCAUUGUAGAUUCCCAUUUAGCUUGUUUCGGCUUAGUUUAUAUAUUUACAUUAGAUAUUUCAGUGUAGGUGGAAUAGAGGGACAGUAAUGUUAUAAAUUUGUAUAUGUCUAAAGAUUUGUACGUGGAUGUCAUAUUUAUUUAAAUGUGCAUACUGAGCUUAUAUUUAUAAAUUUUGUAACAUGGAGGACCGUUUGAUUUAUAACAUUUGCAGAAGUUCCUGUAUGUCAAAUAAAUACAACUAAUCUGUAAAAUAAUUUAUUGCAUUUAUAUUCAGUUCUCAUUUAAUUGUUUAUGAGUUAUAUAGAAUUUAUGUGGGUGAAUGAUAAUAUUUACAUUAAAAUCAUCCAAGCGUUUUUCCAUUUAUUUUUGUAGUACGCAUACUUUAGAAAAUGACUUAUAAAUGUUUCCAUCUUCACAGAAACAGUAGCUGCUACAUUUUCAUUUCCGUUUCAGUCAUUAAAUUUAUAAGGCAAUAAUAUUUAAGAAGAAUGAAAUCAGAAUGUCUCAGUUUUAAUCACAUACAUUUGGGAGCGUUUCUCCAUCACAAAGGCAGCUACUGUUUCAGUUAAUUCUUAUUUUGUGUUAGAAUACAUAACAGUGAAGUAGAUGCACGACUUGUGUAUGUAUAGUUAAGCCAGCAUUUUUCUGUGUAUUAUGGGGAAUAGCAAAAUCUACAUCAUAAAUUUUGACACAUUACAGCUGAAGGAAGAGGAACACCUUCCAAGACAAAACAGUCUUCAUGGGGGAAAAAUGACGCUUGUCCAGCAGUUUGCUUCUUGUGAUUGAACUGAACCUGUAAGGAUUCAUGGAUAAAAUGAACAGGAAUAGAUCUGAAUAAAGCAAAUCUGCAUAAAUGGUAACCAGUAGCUCUACUUUUAUUUUUUAUGUUGCUUACCUGUUUUAUUUGAAGGAAACCUGUGUGAUUUAAAAAGUUAUAGCUUUUGCAACUUUAUUACUGGUUAUAUACAUUUGGCCAUUAUAAUGUGCAAGCAAUUGGAAAAAAAACGUCAAGUAAAUGCUUGUUUUAUAGUAGUUUGUUCUUGUUAAAAAUGUUCAUACGAUAAUGUCUGUAAACAGCACCACUUUGAUUACAAUAGAUGUAGUGUUGUAAUAAACUGUUUAAUGGGGCUGAUGUGUAAAGCUGUUCAAGUUAUUUGAUGUUUACACCUCAGGGAAAGUCUUGUGUUCAGCAAUAUCUAAAGAUAAUGUUACUAUGACAUUUAUACUGUCCUUUAAAAAAAAAUUGCAAUAGCAUUUUUGGAUAUGCAUCAAUCUAAUCUUGCGUUCAGUGAAUUAAACAUACUAAUUAAGUGUCUCUUGCCCUUGAUUUUGAUAUUAGAAUAGGUGAUUACAUGGGUAUUUAAUAUUUCUAUAUUCUGCUUUUCUAGCUGUUUUUACCUAGUUAAGCUUGUGACUUUGCUGAAUGGUAUGUAAACUUGUAAAAACUGAAAUUUCACAACAUAACAACCCAGUCAUUGUGUUAGGGGUCAACAAAGAUUUUGUGGUUUUAACAUUUUAGUAAAAACCCACACGUGAUUUGCUACAGUAAUGCAGCUUAAUUACAACACAGAUUUACUGAAACGCUUAAUUGUAAACUGCUAGCAUUGAAGAAAUAUUUUGACAGUUCUGAUUUGAUGCGGCAGUUAUUAGCUAUUUUAUAUUGAUAGUGCUUAUGGUUUAUUGUUGAAGCCAUGGGCAACGUAAAUAUAGGCAGCCGUGCAGCAGACAAAUGUGAGUAAAGAAAGCCUUAGUUUUAUUUUCCAGUUACAGGAAAUAGAUUUCUGAAGGGUGUGAUGUUUAACAUUGGGUUGUAUUCUCCUAUAUGUGUAAUAGGAGAUUAUAGGUGUACCGAUCUCCACAGUUUAAGGAGUUCUGUGUAUUCGUGCAACCUAUUAAUUCAUGCUAAAGUUAACCUAAUCAAAGAUUUUUUUCAAACCUGCCUUGCAUAUAAGCCCACAUUAAAAGCACCUGGCUAGCAUGUGUUCUUAAUUGUAAAAUUAGCAUAGGCAGAGUGUCAAUUUGAUUAGACAUUUUUAUAGAAAGUUCAUUCUGAAUCAUUACUUCAGAAAUUUGAGUUAAAAUCCUUAAGCAAGUUAAUAUGUUUUUUAAUGUUUUUAAAAUCUGAUUAUCUUCGAGAGAUCUUCUGAUAAUACACUUUCUUUUUUUUUUUUUUUUAAAUGUAUAGCCAAAUUUUAGGACGUUGCUUGCUUAGGCACCCUAAAUAUUAUGUAAGUGCAACCUUAGAAGCCCUCCAGAGAACUGCAGUUCUUUACUUUCAUGUUGUCCACCAUCAUACCAGUUCUUGCAGAAUUAGCUGUUUUAAAUUAUCCAUAUUAUUGCCAGCUUUAUUUUUAAAACAUUUUGUGGUUAGAGUAUUUGUGCAUGGAAUCAUUGGUGUUUGUCAGAACUGUUUGCUCUCAGAAAUGAUUUUUUAAGUGUUCUAUCUUGUUGAAAAUGCAGUUGCCUUUUUAACAUUUGAGAGUUGUAUCAAAAUCAGUUUUCUUGCUUUGUGUAUAGAUGUUGUUAGUUUUAUUUCUUAGAUUUUUUUUAUAUUACAAUGCUGUAAUGCGAAGAAGUAUGGACAUAAAUAUAUUACAAGGGAAUUAGUUAAUAGUAAGCUUAAAAGGUAAGUAAAUGUCCAUAAGGAUACAAUUUUCUCUGAACAAUUUAAAAAUGGGAUCAUAAAAAUCUUAACUGCUUGAACUUGAAAUGAAAACUGGAAAUUUUGUACUAAUUAAAUCCUUCAUUUACCUUUUCAUUUUUUUUUUUUUUUUUUUAUCAGUGAAACCCUUUAAUUGCUCAUACUAUAUCACCCUUCUCCCUACUUGGCUGAUCUCAUUACGUGACUUUUGUUGCAGACAAUGUGAGUGUACUAGAAUUGUUUGCUGUUAGUGUAUUAUAAAUGUUAUCAGAAGGGAAUAACUUUCUGAUUUGACCAAUUUUUGCCAAGUCUUUCUCUAUCUGAUACAUGAAUAUAUAGCAAUGAAGGUGAAAAUGCAAGCUAUGUUUUAUUCUUCAUAUCCCUUUUUUUUUUAAUGGGCUGAUGUUAUUUGAAAAAUUUUUUUAAAUGUUUAAAAACAAUCCAAAGAGAUAAAUCUCUACAUAGACACCAAAAGAAGAGUCCCAGAGAUCUUUUCAUUUCUUCUUAAUAAUAAUUAUAGUGGAUAUGAAAACAAAACUGAAUUUAAUUUUAAACCAUAGCACUUGUUAGUGCUAUGCCAUCACAUUCCUUUCAGCCAGUAAAGUUAUGAAUGAGUGAUGCAGCACCUGAAUGGUAUUGCUUUUGAAGCAGUAUUUUGAAUUGAAUGUGCUGCUUUUGGUUAAUGGACAUAGGUUUUGGAAAGGAUAUUCCAGUAUAAAUUUAUAAGUGUUUAUUUUGUCAAUUUUUAUAAGCAAGAUUCGGAGUAAGUUACAGUGGCUAAUGAUCAUAGUUUAGUCCAUUUACCUAGAAUAUUCUUAAGCAGUUAACUACAAUUUGGAGUUCACAAAAAACUUAUGGAUUGUAGCUUAAGGUAUUACUUUCAGUUAAUUCUCCUGUGGAGAAUAUUGCUUUGUUUUCUACUAGUUUAAGGUCAGUUCUUAAAAUAAACAUGGAGAUUUUAAUGAAUGUUGUAUAACAUUUUAUAGUGAGGGGGAAAAAUUGUUGGAAGGGUAAAGACUUUCUUUCCCUUAUGUAUUUAAAUGUGCCAAUAACCUAAAUACAUACUGUUUUAUACAAUGAGAUGCUACUACAAGACUUUGUUGGCGUGCUCUGACAUUUUGGUUUUCAUACCUGAAUGAUCAUUGCGUUUUCUGUAUCUUGUAAGAUGGCUUCACUUUUGUGUUUUAAGCUUCAGCUUGUUAUUUUAAGAGGAAGUUUAUGUUCUGUUUCUUUACUGAGAAUACAGUAUUGCGAUCCUAGCUGUUUCACAGAUAACUGCCUUUUAAAUUUUAUUCAUUAAGUUCAUUUGCAUCCCAUAGCCAUCUGUAAUAUUUCCCAUAGUUGUAUGUACUUUAAGUGCACGCUUACCCAUUGUACACAUUAGACAUUUUUGUGCUAAAAUAUAUUAAGUGGGAUUUUUGUAGCAAAGUAUUUUUCUGUUUUUACAGUGUGUGUGUGUUGUUUUUUACGUUAACCCUCAGUUUAAACACUGGUGUAUUUUAUUUUUUAGCAACUUGACUCUUAGAAGCCUUAGACUAAUUUUUUAAUAAAUAUUCAACCAAAAAUUAUAAAUUUAUUAAGAUGUGGCCUUACAUAUAGCAUUCCUUAUGUUUGUAAUGUGAGAUUUUUUGAUUUAGAGAACUCAAAAGAUUCAGGAUUAAAGUAUCUUAUUGUAAGUUGAAAUAGAAAAUGUAUUAAAAUGUCUAAAAUGUCUAGGCUUCUGGGAGGAAGUUCUUAUACUCUUCUUUCUUGGUAUUAGAAAGAAGCAAUAUGAAUUUCUAUGAAUAUUCAAAAUAUUCAGGCAGUUGUAUCUUGUUCAGAUUGAUUUAGGUUUGUCUUAACCAAUUUCUUUAAAAUUUCAGGUUGUUGGCAUUCACUCUGAGUAUGCAGCUACUAUGGUUUUUGUAUGGGACAUAUAAACACUUGGUUAGGUAUAGACAGAUGUUAAUGUUUUAAAGACUUCCUGCUAUAUUAAUUAGCAUAUUGUAAUGGAAGUUUUUUAAAAUAUUAGGUGGAAUUUAAUUGAAGUCACACAAAUCUUGAAAUGGUAUCUGCAGAUAAUAAAUACUACGGAGAGUUUUUCCUGUGGGAGUAUCCUAAAACUCCGCCAUGGGUGUAAAUGUUUUACAUUAAUUUCAUAAUUGGACAGACCCUGCAUUUAGUGAAAACAUUUCAUUUUGAAGAUGUGUUCUUUUUGUCUCAUUGUUACUGCGUAACACUUCUCAGCAUUCUGUAAGUUAAAUUAUUUUAAAAUGGUGAAUUCGUGUUUAUUUUUUUACUUUGAAAAUUGUAGUACUCAGGUGGUAUUUAAUGGGAAAGGAUCCUUUGGGGUAAAUCAUAAUGUAUUCUAAGGAAUGCAUCUAUAACAUUGACUUUAGCCUUAAAGAAAGGUCUAUUAUUCCUUCUUCCUCUUCAUUCCAUGGUAUAUUAGCAAAGUAGUUUACAGCCUUGUACAGCCUUACAAAGUUGUUUUACAAUUUUUAAUCGAAAGCCCUUAACAAAAAACUGUAUCAUAUUACCAGUAUACAUGCAUUACUGAACCAUGGUUUGUAAAUAAUUUGACUAAUACCAGAAGGCCAAAGAAAGUCUUAAAAUUUUAGCUAUUGACUCUAUGGUGACUUCACAAUAAGAUUUCUGUGCAAAAGGUAAGGUGAUAUUUGAUCAAAUAAACAUCUUUUUGGUGUCCCUGAGAACUAGACUUCCAUAUUCGCUUCUAUUAAAAAGCUUAUCCCAUUUUAUUAAAAUGUUUGUAAUUGCAAUUUUGUGUUUAAUGUUUACUUUCUUUUCUUUCUUUAGCAUUUAGGUGACUGUUCAGCAGUUUGCUAUAUGGCCAUUGUUGGCCUUUAAACUGCACUAGUAAUGAGCAUGGUAUUUAUCUUGUAUUGAAAAUAAAACACAGUUUUUAUAAUA